CUUCAGCGAACCGAGGCGGAGCGGCUGCCCCGCGGGACGGGUUUGCCCGUAGGUGUUGAUCAGUGCCCGUGCCUC
rnacentral:antisense_RNA from 1 species